GGAACAGCAAUAUAUUCCAAGUCAAGAUGGUCAUACGUUAUUGGCAGAGAGAGUGGAUGCAUGUGGAUAUGGUGCCAAUCAAGCAGGCUACUUUGACCUGGAUGGUAUCAAGCUUUUUGAGUGCUGUUGAAGUUGCACCCACCCAAGCAGUGCCACCCAUGCAAGGCACUGCUGACUUGUGCCUUGCAGAAGAUGGACAGAUUUUGGGGAGUCAGGAGUCAGUUCACUGGGACACUCUCACUCAGGUCUGCGUGCUUCAGUCUCAUUGAUGUUUGAAACCUUUCGAAGCAGACCGGACAGAAGAGAAAUAAAAAAUUCA